rnacentral:lncRNA from 1 species
AAGAAGGACUCUUCUAAUAUGAAAAUGAUACUUUGAGGAAACUCCUUCCCCAAGACCCCCAAAUCCGCAAACAUUCAAGAAAUGUACAGUCUCACUGCUCGACUUCCUUUCCUGCCCCCAGUUCAACCAAUAAUCUAGUCACACGAAACAGUUUAACCUCAAGACAAGUCAACCAAGAGCAUGAACAAGCAGCAGAGAAAGACCAGGGGUCAGCAGGCGAGGACAGUGACCUGGCCCGGACAGGGCCGAAGAAGUCCCCGGCCCUUGUGCCCCGCCGCCCCGGACCAGGGACUCCGCGGCGACCCCCCUGCCCGCCCCGCGCCCGAGCCCAGGACCGGGGCAGGGAAAGAAGCGGGCGCCACGCGCGGGCAACUUGGAGACUUACCUUCCCGGAUGCGCUACACCAUCAAUGGAGGAGAGAAAACGAGGCAGAGACGGUGUGGGAGAUUAGCUCUAAGCUAACAUCUGCUGCCAAUCCUCCUCUUUUUGCUGAGAAAGACUGGCCCUGAGCUAACAUCCGUGCCCAUCUUCCUCUGCUUUACGUGUGGGACACCUACCACAGCAUGGCUUGAUGAGCAGUGCCAUGUCUGCACCCGGGAUCUGAACCGGCGAACCCUGGGCCACAGAAGGGGAACAUGUGCACUUAACCACUGUGCCACCGGGCCACAACCUUUCUUAUAGAGAAAAUCCAAAAGGAGCAGACCACAAGCUACAGAAUGUUUGUGUUCUCUUAAUCAAUAAAAAUCCCAUAAGAAUGAUCCCUGAAACACAUCCCCCCGAAAGGCCAUCCACCAACCCCCAGAAGAGGCCCGUUACCUUCAAACUAACAGCCCAUUCUUACUGCACUCAAGGAGAAGAAGAGAAAACCAAGAAAAACCAUGAUGGGUCUUCGCUUUACACGGAAGCAACAUCUACCCCAUCUCACCUAGUAAUAUGCGACUAAUUUUAAUCCCAGGGUGGAAGAAAUAGCCUAGAGUUAGUGAGCCAGGGAGAGGUGACAAAGUGACUUUCUCCCAGGACAGAGAAACUUUGGGUAAGUUGAUUACCACAAAUAAAGGAAACAAGUUGCAGUCUCUAUAAUUAAGAAUAAAAUGGAGGACUCAAGAAAGUAAUCAAAGCAACAGGGUUAUAGAUUGUGGCCCUGAGAGGUUCAAGACAUAUGAACUAACACAUCCACGUGAUAGAGAAAACCAAGCUGAUAGUUACCCAGUUGUGUUUUAC